rnacentral:rRNA from 1 species
GGCGGCAGGCCUAAUACAUGCAAGUCGAGCGCGCCCUUCGGGGUGAGCGGCGGACGGGUGAGUAACGCGUGGGAAUAUGCCCUUCUCUAAGGAAUAGCCUCUGGAAACGGAGAGUAAUACCUUAUACGCCCUUUGGGGGAAAGAUUUAUCGGAGAAGGAUUAGCCCGCGUUAGAUUAGGUAGUUGGUGGGGUAAUGGCCUACCAAGCCUACGAUCUAUAGCUGGUUUGAGAGGAUGAUCAGCCACACUGGGACUGAGACACGGCCCAGACUCCUACGGGAGGCAGCAGUAGGGAAUCUUAGACAAUGGGGGCAACCCUGAUCUAGCCAUGCCGCGUGUGUGAUGAAGGCCCUAGGGUCGUAAAGCACUUUCGCCAGAGAUGAUAAUGACAGUAUCUGGUAAAGAAACCCCGGCUAACUCCGUGCCAGCAGCCGCGGUAAUACGGAGGGGGUUAGCGUUGUUCGGAAUUACUGGGCGUAAAGCGCACGUAGGCGGAUUAGUAAGUUAGAGGUGAAAUCCCAGGGCUCAACCCUGGAACUGCCUUUAAUACUGCUAGUCUUGAGUUCGAGAGAGGUAAGUGGAAUUCCGAGUGUAGAGGUGAAAUUCGUAGAUAUUCGGAGGAACACCAGUGGCGAAGGCGGCUUACUGGCUCGAUACUGACGCUGAGGUGCGAAAGUGUGGGGAGCAAACAGGAUUAGAUACCCUGGUAGUCCACACCGUAAACGAUGAAUGCCAGACGUCAGCAAGUAUACUUGUUGGUGUCACACCUAACGGAUUAAGCA